rnacentral:lncRNA from 1 species
CGAAGGCAAGCAAUCGAACCUCGUGUACUCGCCGGUGUCCAUCCACGUGCUGUUGAGCCUGAUCGCGGCCGGCUCAAAGGGUCCGACUCAGGACCAGCUGCUGUCUUUUCUCAAAUCAAAGUCCACCGACCACCUCAACUCCUUCGCCGCCGAGCUCGUGUCCAUGAUCUUCUCCGAUGGGUCCCCUAGCGGCGGCCCCCAGCUGUCGUUUGCUAAUGGGGUUUGGGUGGACGGGUGUCUCCCUCUGAAGCCUUCUUUUAAGCAGGUGGUGGACACCUCUUACAUGGCUGCUCUUGCCCAAGUCGAUUUUCAGACCAAUGUAAGCUCUCAAACCCACUGUCCUGUCGUUUCGAUUGUCUUUUUUUCCGAGGAUGCUCUUGAUCAAAGUCUUCAAUUUUUUCGAUGUGAUUAGAGAUGCUUGUUCCUUUGUUGAACCUAAAUUGUAGGCCUGCUGAAUCUCUUUUACUUGUAGCAUUUCAACUAAAAAUUUCCUUUCUCUAAUCAUUAAUGUUUGUGCUUGUUAGCUAUUACAGAAUCAUAUCGUAAUUCGUAGAUUUUUGUUAUAGUACGAUCAUCACUAGGUUAAUAGUAUUGAAGUAACAUGCAGGCUGAUAUAUCAUUGUUUUCUAACUUGUCGUAACUGUUGCUGGUGCUCGAGGCUGCUCAAGUGGCCUCGGGAGUGAAUUCAUGGGCUGAAAAGGAGACGAGAGGCCUUAUCAAGGAGGUACUUCCUCCCGGGUCAGUUGACAGCUCAACCAGGCUCAUCUUUGCAAAUGCGUUAUACUUCAAAGGAGCUUGGACUGAAAAGUUUGAUGCAUCACAAACGAAAGAGCAUGAUUUCUACCUUCUCGAUGGGAGCACAGUUAAGGUGGCCUUCAUGACCAGCAGGAAGAAGCAGUAUGUAAGAUCCUUCAAUGGUUUCUCAGUCUUAGGGCUUCAUUACAAGCAAGGUGAAGACAAGCGAUGUUUCUCCAUGCACAUGUUUCUCCCAGAGGCGAAAGAUGGGCUGCCAGCUUUGGUUGAGAAACUUGGUUCUGAGUCCGGGUUUUUGGAUCGCCAUCUUCCUAACCAAAAAUUUGCAGUGGGUGAUUUCAGGAUUCCAAAGUUUAAGAUUUCAUUUGGGUUUGAAGCUUCCAAUGUCCUUAAAGGUCUUGGCUUGGUGCUGCCAUUCGGUGGCGGAGGAGGUUUGACAGAGAUGGUGGACUCGCCUGUGGGUAAGAACUUGUACGUUUCCGGCAUAUUCCAUAAGUCGUUCAUCGAAGUGAACGAAGAAGGCACAGAAGCUGCAGCUGUGUCUGCCGGGCGUGUUAGGCGUUUGCGUCUGGUAGUGCCAAGGACGGUUGACUUUGUGGCCGAUCGUCCAUUUCUCUUCUUGAUCAAGGAAGAAUUGACCGGAACUGUGCUUUUCAUCGGGCACGUACUCAAUCCUCUUGCAGACUGAGCGUUGUUAUUCCCUGUAAAAGGCAAAUGUAUACGUAGAACUACACGAGAUUAUAUAUAAAAUGUAUGAUCAUCUCUAUUAAAAUAAAUGUAUGAUCAUCAUGUUCACGUCGUCUUGUUUAUAUAUAUAAAUGUAUGAUCAUCUGUGUUAAAAUAAAUGUAUGAUCUUCAUGUUCAUGUCGUCUUGUUUCUCUCAUAUGGCUUUUGUUGUUCGUUCUGCCAUGGCUAUACCUACCCGAAACUGUUGGAAAUGCUUUGGGGAUAGGCUUUUACCCAUUAAUGCUGGAAAUGUUUUUCUCCUUAAUUGUAUUGGGAACGGUUUGGACUAGAGGUUUUUCUUUUUAGUUAAGUGUCGGAUUGUCCCGGUGAAUAGUCAUUCCUUAACCAUUUGCAUGGGCUUAAAUUCUUUGUAAUUAGUUUAAAGCAACGUUGCUCUUGUAAUAAAAAAACAUUAUAAACCAAGUGCUCGGUAAUUAUUGCACGUUCAGUUAACAUGAAUCGGGACAAGUAAAGAAUCAUAGAACUUACGAGCAGGGAAUGUACAGAGGGAAAAUUUAUCUUAUCAACUGGCCAUGUAAUUUACAUAAUUCUUGAAUUUUAGGUUAAGUUAUAUUUUGUAGAUCAGGCGUAAGUUGAUUUUUUUUUUAAAUUAUUAAAGAAAUCAAUCAUCAAUUAUCACAUAAUGUGAUUUGUAAAAUAUUGUUCGAGUAGAUAGUCUCUCGAGAAUGACUCAAACUUUAUAAUGAUUUUGAUUUUUAUUACAUAGUAAUCAUGUCAUUAAGGUCAAACUUUGAACAAACAUCCAUUUACAUAGCAAGCAUGUUAUUAUGGUGUAUGCUCAUCGUCGCUUUCAAACCUUGACAUGUGUCUUCUAACAUAACCAUAAUGAAAAUUAUACUUUCAAAUUUAUUUUUUUUAUUUUGAAAGGAUGUCAACUAGUGCCAAGCUAGGACUAGAAACACAAUUUGGCAACAACAUUCCAUAUUUACCCCUGCUUUUGCUGGCUGUAUCUCAAAAAUAUAUGGGCAGUCCUCCUAAUUUUCAUCUUCUUACCGGAAUCUCACCCCACAAAUCAAAUUACAGCCCACAACUGCCUAAUUUUUGUUAGUACCAAAAUCAAGAACCAAUAACAAUAUCUUAUUAUUCGUUGCAGUUUAAAUGACACUUGUUGAUGAGUUUUGUUGCAGUUAAAUUUCAGGAUAAUAUUAGAGAGACUAAAUUUGAAGAUGAAAUUUACAAAUUAAAUGUUAUGUCACCAAUAAAAAUGAGCAUGUUUAUUAACGUUUAAAUGAUAAACCAAUUAUCAACUUCUAUAUAUGUUUGAACCCGAUGUUACACCAUCGGUUCGAGUAAUCGAGGCUAUUGAAUAAGCAGAAUUUUAGAUCGUUGAAAUUAUUAGAAAAUCUGAGCAUGCACGAUAGUUAUAACGGUGAGAAAAGUUACGGUAAUAUUAGCGUACUUCUUACGUGGCCACGCCCAAAACGAAGUCGUGGCAACUCGCGCGAAUGCCACUGCUCCCUCUAUCGUCUUCUUUCCCGCUUGGCUUCGCAUUGAUCGUUUGAACCUGUAACCGAUCACCGAUCACCGACGACCGACACCGACUUUCCUAUUUUCUCGAUGGUGAGAAAGCAUACGGCCCAAUAUUAGCGUACUUCUUACGUGGCCACGCUCAAAACGAAGCGUGGCGACUCCCACGAAUGCCACUUCUCCCUCUAUUGUCUUCUUCCCCACUUGGCCUCGCAUUGAUCGUUUGAACCUGCAACCGAUGACCGACGACCGACACCGAGAUUUUCCCAAACCUUGGUCCUUACUCUCGUAUAAAUUAGAAACGAACAGCGGAACAAUUUUCUCGCAACCGGAAGCACAGCAAACAUGGAUCUGAGAGAAAGCAUCAUCAACCAAAACGACGUCGCAAGGAGGCUGACGAAGCAGCUGGUUCAGACCGAAGGCAAGCAGUCGAACCUCGUGUACUCGCCGCUGUCCAUCCACGUUGUGCUGAGCCUGAUCGCGGCCGGGUCAAAGGGUCCCACCCAGGAGCAGCUGCUGUCGUUCCUCAAGUCAAAGUCCACCGACCACCUCAACUCCUUCGCCUCCCAGCUCGUGUCCGUGAUCUUCUCCGACGGGUCCCCCGUGGGCGGCCCCAAGCUGGCGUUUGCGAAUGGGGUUUGGGUGCACAAGCCUCUCCCGCUGAAGCCUUCCUUCGAGCAGGUGGUGGACGCUUCUUACAAGGCCGCUCUUGCCCCAGUCGAUUUUCAGACCAAUGUAAGCUCCCAAACCCUCUGUCAUGUCGUAUCGAUAGUGUUUUUUUUCAAUGCUGCUCAUGAUCAAAGUCUUCAAUUUUUUUCGAUUUGAUUGGAGAUGUUUGUUCCUUUGUUGAACCUAAAUUGCAGGCCUGCUGAUGCUCUUUUAUUAUUGUAGCAUUUCAAAUAAAUAUUUCCUCUCUAAUCAUUACUGUUCGUGCUUGUUCUUCUGAAUAGCUUAGCUGUUACGAAAUCGUAUCGUAGAUUUUUUGUUCGUUACUGUUUGUGGUUGUAAUUGAUCGAGAUAUGCAGGCUGAUAUCAUUGUUUUCUAACUUGUCGUAACUGUUGUUGGUGCUCAAGGCUGCUCAAGUGGCGUCGGGAGUGAAUUCAUGGGCUGAAAAGGAGACGAGCGGCCUUAUCAAGGAUCUACUUCCUCCCGGGUCACUUGACAGCUCAACCAGGCUCAUCUUUACGAAUGCAUUGUACUUCAAGGGAGCUUGGAAUGAGAAAUUUGAUGCAUCAGCUACAAAAGAGCAUGACUUCCACCUUCUCGACGGGAGCACAGUUAAGGCGCCCUUCAUGACCAGCAAGAACAAGCAGUAUGUAAGUGCCUUUGACGGUUUCUCAGUCUUAGGGCUUCCUUACAGACAAGGUGAAGACAAGCGGCGCUUCUCCAUGCACAUCUUUCUUCCACAGGCGAAAGAUGGGCUGCCAGCUUUGGUUGAGAAACUUGGCUCUGAGUCCGGGUUUUUAGAUCGCUAUCUUCCCAAACAACCAGUUGCAGUGGGCGACUUCAGAAUCCCAAAGUUUAAGAUCUCAUUUGGGUUUGAAGCUUCCAAUGUCCUAAAGAGUCUGGGACUGGUGCUGCCUUUCGAGGGUGAAGGAGGUCUGACAGAGAUGGUGGACUCGCCCGAGGGUAAGAAGCUAUAUGUUUCUAGCAUAUUCCACAAGUCGUUCAUCGAAGUGAAUGAAGAAGGCACAGAAGCUGCAGCUGCUUCUGCCGGCGUUAUAAGUGAGAGGAGGAUGCCCAUGACAUUUGUGGCUGAUCGUCCAUUCCUCUUCACGAUCAGGGAAGAAACGACCGGAACAGUUCUGUUCAUCGGUAACCUGCUCAACCCUCUUGCCGGCUGAGUGUUACAACCCCCUGGGAAAGGGCAUCAGAUGUACGUAGAAUAAUACGCGCGAGACUGUAGUAAAUAAAAUGUAUGAUCCUUGUAUACAUGUACUAUGUUUGGUUAUUACCUAAUCACCCUGUACUUGCAGCAGUUGGUCUUGUUUCUCCCAUGUGGCGAUUUUUGUUUGUUCUCCCAUGGCGUUUAUCCAUGUGUAGAAUCUUGAUUCUGAAUACUUAUUUUAUGAUGUACUCUGUUUGAACAAUAAAAGUUUUAGCCGACUGCAAACGUCGGUUAGUGUUAAAGUAUUUAAUAUAUAGAAUGGACGAGUGCUAGUGUUGUACCAUACACAUGGUUGGUGAUGAAAAAGAUUAAACUUUGAAUAUUCUAUAAAAUAUUAUUUAACUUGGGACGAGGAUCUUCUUUGUGAGGAUCUUAUGAAUUAAUUUAUCUUAACGGUUCAUUGUACAUCGUGUGACCAUCUUUCAUUAGAUACUUUUUGUGUUAAAUUUUAAAUAAAUUCAAAAUAAUUUUUGGCUGCAGGAUGAUUGAUAAACAGAUAUGAUGCAUUGAUUCCUAAAGUCCUCACAAAGAGAAUCCGGAUGUUUAUAGUCCUCCAUGACUGGAGAUGGCCUAAGAUGCUAAACACUUAACACUACCCAAUUUUUCCAGUUAGUUAAAUUUUCACAAUUAGUGUAUUAAAUUGCUUAAGAAAUGUUAUCAGCACUCUAAAAUAAUUGACCAUAUUUUCUUGACUCUUUUGUUAAAUUGCAUGAAGAUUUUUUUGGAUAGUCAAUAAUAUCUCCCAAUUGCUUAACAUAGAAUUAAAUAGAGUAUCGCUAACUAGAGCAUGAUAUGUUUCUGUGUCUUUGAUGCCCUUUGCUCGAGAAAAUUUAGUAUAGGGUUUUCAUCACAAAUGGUCCCUGACAUUGAUCAAACACAUCAUUUUGGUCCCUGACAUUGAAAAUCAAUAGAAAUGGUCCCUGACAUUGAUCAAACACAUCAUUUUGGUCCCUGACAUUGAAAAUCAAUAGAAAUGGUCCCUGACAUUGAUCAAACACAUCACAAAUAGUCCUUCCGUUAAAAACGUUUUGGGCAAUUUUCAAAGCUUUGUAACUCAAUCGUUUCUUAACCAAAUUCGACCCAUAAUAUAUCAAAAUGAAGAUAGGAAAGUGUAGAACAAGAUUAUACCUAUUUGGAAACCCAAUGGUUGCCGGAGAUGGCCGGAAAACAGCCUCAAAUGUGACUGGUCCGCGAAAAAACUGGAAAACUCGCCUGAAAUGGGGUAAACUUUAAACAUUCAUAACUUCUUCAAUAAUCAACGAAAUCGAGUGAUUCAAAAAUGAAAAUCAUACUUCUCGACGAGACUAAGAGAAUGGUAGCUUUCUUGAUGGCUAACUCAUUGUAGUUUGGCCGGAAAAUGACUCGAAAUUGGCUAACUCGAAAAUGGUUAUCCAAGUUCGAGCCAUUUUCCGGUCAAACCACGGUAAAUUAGUAGUCAAUAAAGAUACCAUUAUCUUUCUCUCAUUGAGAAGUAUGAUUUUCAUUUUUGAAUCACUCAAUUUCAUUGAGUAUUGAAGAAGUUAUGAAUGUUUAAAGUUUACCCCAUUUCAGGCGAGUUUUUCAGUUUUUUCGCGGACCAGUCACAUUUGAGGCUGUUUUCCGGCCAUCUCCGGCAACCAUUGGGUUUCUAAAUAGGUAUAAUCUUGUUCUACACUUUCCUAUCUUCAUUUUGAUAUAUCAUGGGUCGAAUUUGGUUAAGAAACGAUUGAGUUACGAAGCUUUGAAAAUUGCCCAAAACGUUUUUAACGGAAGGACCAUUUGUGAUGUGUUUGAUCAAUGUCAGGGACCAUUUCUAUUGAUUUUCAAUGUCAGGGACCAAAAUGAUGUGUUUGAUCAAUGUCAGGGAUCAUUUGUGAUGAAAACCCUUUAGUAUAUGAACGACAAACUACGUGUUAUUACGGCCACAGACGAUAAUCCAGACUAUUUGUUUAAUACUUAAGCUUACUUGUGGUCCCAUUAUGUAAAAAAAUUUUGCAUUAGUCUGCACACAAGAAAUUUUUUAUUGGUUUCAGUUGAGCUCAAAUAAUAAUAAUCUGUUCGUGUAAAAGUUAAAAUUUAUCUUAUUAUGUAAUUGAUUUAAAAUACCGUAAAUACUGAUUUAAAAUUAUCUCAUUGUCAGCUUGUGUGUCAUUCUCGUAGAAUUUGGAAUUAUUCACAUUGUUUAGUAACGUAGGAUAUUUCAAGAAGCAUUUUUGCUCACUAUCAUUUAGUGUAAUGUAUAUUCAUCAUUCUAUUUAUCAUCGUUAGAUGAGUUUGAAUUUUAAGAUCCGUGUAGUGGAUAGACACAAAUUUCAAAAUUCAAUCUCAUCUAACGAUAAUAAAUAUGAUGAUGAACAUAAAUCAAAUAAAUGAUGAUGAAAAAAAAUACAUAGAUAUUUCAGUACAUGAAAACGUCACGUUAAUGAAAGGAGCUGGAGCGCCUGCUGCUGACCUCGGUCAAACAGACGGUGUGGGUUUCACGUGGCUGGCGCGAAAUCUAAACCGUUAAUUUAAUGUUAGUUAUCUCUCCCCUUGUCACGACUCCCAUGUAAUGCUGUAAAGUCACAAGCACCCAUCGUUUGGUUCUAAUAUUACAACAGUACCGCCCAUGGAAACACAAUCUUAAGCAAUCUCUAAUACUCAUAAUGUUGUUGAAGUUUUGCACUAAUAAUAGUUGCUAAACAGUGAUUAGACAGUCAGAUAAGAGACAGGGUUUAUGAUGUGAUUUGGACGUCCCAUCCUUUGCCACUUAAAAUGUCUUACCUACCAAACAUAUCUUGAAAAAUAAUUUAGCUUGGUACGAAGAAUCACAAUUUUUGUUUAUAAUUGACGAAAUCAAUCAAUGCAUGUUUUUUAUCAAAUCAAUAUUUAUUGGGAUAUUCAUCCUUAAAAUCUUCAUUUUGUUAUAAAACAACAAUAUAUUUAUUAUUUUUAAAAUUUUGUAAUACGUUUAUUUAAGUAGUGACUUUGAACGUUUUAAAAUUGAAAAAUCAAUAUUUAAAUGCAAAGUUGUCCGUUUUGAAUAAUCUCUAACAAUAUUUUCCUUCUCGUAAAUGAGUAAGAUUGGUUUAUUUUGUACACAAUUAGAUAUUGAGAGUUGAAAUUCUAAAUACUAAGUUCUUCUUAACAUAUUUUCGUAACCAUUUAAGAUGUUUGUAUAUUCGAAGAAUAUGGAAAAAUUGAAUCAACCCAGAUUAUUAUUAUGGCUGUCGACAUCUUUUAUCAGAGGAUAGCCAUCAAGUCACACCGCAUAUCCAGAAAGAGAAAUCCAUCCAAAAAAUAGGAAAACGAAAUGACAUUCCUUAUUUUCCUCCAUGGACGUCCCUUCUCUCCCCACCACGAAGGUCCCAGCUGAAAAGAAACGGAUGGCACAAUCGUGAUUAUCACAAACAGGAAUGUCAAAUUGUAGCAAGAGCAUGGUCAGCGCCGUUACAAAUAAGUGGAAGUUCCUCGGAAGAGUAAGAGAACGCGACAAUCAUAACGUAAUCUAUCUCUUCACUUUCUCAAUCCUUUUCUAUCUUUUUUUUCUUUCUGGGUUCCUUGUACUUCUCAUAAAUAUUAAGAGUUUAAUUCAAAAGAAAGGAACUUUCUCUUUCAUUGCUUACAUUUUUUUUUUCAGAUUAUUUACUUUCCCUUCCUUGCAGUUGCUUGGAAGAAACCAAGCUCAGAAGACCUUUGUUUUUUGAGAAUUCAGUUCAAUCCGUUUAUAUAUAUAUAUAUAUAUGGUGUUGAUGAUUUACCAGAAGUGAUAGUGCUUCAACCGAGAAGAAGAAGCUUUUAGUCUUCAGAAAUUCAGAGAAAAGAUAAGGAAGUGGAAGAGUGAAGGAAAAGCAAAUCAAAAGAUGGGAGAAACUGCUCCUCAUCCUCCACCACAGGUGGUUGCUCGGCCGUCUCAGAUGCCUCUUGGGGCAGCGAAGGGUCCCCAUUUGGACUCCAACUGAGCAGCUCCACAACCUUCAGUAUUGCAUCCACUCCAACCCCUCUUAGCGUUAGUCUCUCUCUGUUUCUGUUAAUUUCUUCGUUCUGGGUUUUAUAUUUUUUGAGUAAAAAGCUGAUUAAAGUUGUGCUAUUUUAAUGGGUUGGUUUAAAAGUUGAAGCUUUUGGCACUACUUCUUAUUUAGUUUACUAGUUUGCUUUUUAUUCCUAAUUUUGCAAAUUACUUUUACUAUUUUUGUUUCGGAUUCUCUAAUUUAUUGUGUUCGAAUCUUUUUAAGUACUGUAAUUAGUUCUAAUAAAAUAAUAAGCAUAUGUUCCAUUACCAGUUUCAACUUAUCCUGCUUACAAGACAUCGAUAUCACUCGAAAAUGUUUAGGAAGUGUAAACGUAAAUUUCCCAUGUUUAUCAAAUGCAACAAACUGCUUCUAAUGGAUCGAAUUUUACAGCGGAAACAUUCGUACUCGCUUUUCAGCACUAUAUUGUGAUGCUCGGAUCCAUAGUUAUAAUUGCCACUAGUUUCGUGCCUCGGAUGGGUGGGGAUCAUGUAAGUUAUGUCCUCUAUACAGUAAAGUUUAUAAUAUGCCGGUUAAGAUUAGCGAUCACACACGUAGCUUUGAAUCCGUGAUGUUAAUGUUUGGGUUUUGUUCUCCCUUUGUGAUCAGGGUGACAAGGCACGCGUGAUUCAGACGAUGCUGUUUAUGGCAGCAAUAAACACUUUGAUCCAAACAUUCACGGGACAAGGCUUCCAACAGUGAUGACUUCGUCAUUCGCUUUUACCCUUCCGGUGAUGUCAAUCAUCAAUGAUUAUUCUGAUCGGAAUUUUAGAAGUGAACAUGAGGUAUGUAAAGUUUGAAACAUGUUAUUCAUAGAGGAUUUAACAUCACAUUAAUUUACUUCUUAAAUUGCUUUAAGAAAUUUCAGUUAUAGACUUUGAGAUGAAAAAUACGUGGUGCAAAAAACGUGUAAACCUUACAUACCUGUAGAAGACGUCAUGAUGAAUUUCUGGUUUUGAGGACGGAAUAGAUUGAAGCACGUCCAUGCACUGUUGCGUCAUAUGCAACAAACUGAUGGGGAGUUCUAGGGUUGUGGCAUUAGCAAUGUGACAGGGACCUCAAACUUACAUAGGCCUCACGUCCCUAGAACCCUACCCACUAAUGGAGACUAGAAACUCUUAUGAUCCUCUAACGAGAAUAAUAAAGCCAAUGGAAAUGUUAGCACACAAUUGUUGUACAUAUAACAGACUUCGAGCAAUUUUUGGAACACGUAAAACAUUGUUAAGAAUAAGAUCAUGAGUAUUGGUUUUAAUGGUUGUUGCAUCAAUAUUCUUAAUGGAUAAACCUGUUCCAUUUCCAACUGUGAUUUUAUCAAAACCUUGGAAUGGUGUAACUUGAUUCAAUGUGGUGGCAUCAGCAGUGAUAUGAUGAGAUGCACCAGUAUCAACAAUCCAUGCAUCAUGAGGAAUAUAUUGUUCUAUCUGCUGUGUUGCCAUAGCUGUUAAGUUUGCAGGUGGUUGUUGGCCUUGAAAAACAUAAUUCCCUUUGUGAUAACAUUCAAGAGCUGAGUGACCUUUUUUUCCCACAAAUCUGACACUCCAUUUGAAAUCUAGUAUUUGGUGUAGUAGCAUUUCUGUGAAAACAAUUGACUGCAGUAUGCCCUUUCUUGUUGCAGAUUUGGCACUCAAUCACUGUUGUUGACCUGCUCUCUGUGUUUCCAUUCCACACAUUUGAACCAUUUGACCUUGAAUUGCCAUACGAAAAAUCAGAAGAGUUUCCUAUGUUGUAACCCUUGCUUUUGAAUCCACCAUUUGUCUUGUAAUUAUUGUUACCCUUGUAGUUUGAACCACCAAAAGGUUUCUGCAUGAAAUGAGGUAUUGGACCAGAAUUUGAUGCAUUAGCCAUAAACCCAAAACCAUAGGGAACUUGAGGAUAAACUGGACCAGGAAAUUGCGGAGACAUAGGAGGUUGAGGCAUAUGAGGUUGCUGUGGAUAUUGUUGUGGCAAGACAAAUGGCUGUGGUUAUUGUGGCUGUGGAUAUUGUUGUGGAUAUUGCUGUGGUAAAACAAAUGGCUCAGCAGAAUAUGGAUAUGGAUUAGGAGUUAUAACACCACCAGUGGUUGCAGGUAAAUGACUAUGCCCUGCAGGAUUAGACCCUGAAGCAAAUGAAUUUCCCUGAGUUGACUAAGAACCCUAAACAUAUAAGGCAGAUAGACUUUGAGACCCAACACUUGUGUCUCAUUCAAUCUCUUUUUCAGCUCUAAAUUUUUUCAAGGAAAUGGAUGAUUCUUUGCCAUAUAUCACAGUUCGAAUAGUUGCAUACUCCUUCGGCAAACCAGCUAAACCAGCAAUUAUAACAUCAUUAUCAGAAAUGAACUCUCCAGUAGCAGUUAAUUGUUCUCUUAUACUCUUCAAUCUUAACAGAUAUUUAUCCAUCAAAUCUCCUCAUUUUUGAAUGGUGUACAACUCAAUUUUUAAAUGAUUUACCCUAGUUUUAGACACUGAAGCAAAUCUAUCCACAAGAUUCGACCAAGCCUCACAAGCAGUUAAACAUCCAAGAACAUAUUUAAUAGCCUCAUCAAACAAAGUAGCUAGUAAAAGACUUAGUAAUGGAUAUGUGGAUUCCCAUUCAACAUAUUCAGCAAGUUCAGAAGUAACUCCUCUCUUAGUAUCUAUUACAAAUUUUUGUGGACAACCAAUAGUGCCAUCAAAAUGCCCAAACAAUUUAUGACCUUUCAACACAUAUUUGAACUGAAAAGCCCAUUUCACAAAAUUAUCAUCCUUCAACUUUAUUGUGAUCAUUCCCAGUUUCAACUUUAACACUUGAAGUAGUCAUGAUUUCUUGAUCGAACACAUAGAAUUUGCAAAUAACAAACAAACACCCAAAAAUUUCUGAUAUACGUAUUGAAAGGAAAGACUGAAACUUUCUCACAACCCAAGCAAGACUGAAACUCGCUUAAUACUCAGGAAAAACUGAAACUUUCUUGAUGAAUCUUGCACACAAAUACAACACACAAUUCCAAUUCGGAAAAGAAAACACAAAAUCUUCUAAUCAGGACUGAAACCCAAUUACUCAACAGAAAUUCACACUAUCACUUGAAUUGCAGCUGUGAUUGCAGCCACAAAUAGCCAGAAUACCAACCGCCAGAAAGAACAACAAGGAUCUGCAAUCGCCAGAACUUUUGAACAAACCCGUUGAAAAGACCUUUCAGAAUCCUUGAACUGGAUAGCAGCGAAAGAACUAGGAUCGAAAACGGUAGUGAACCAUGGUCAGCGAUGAUACCAUAUUAACAGUGUUGAAUUGUGGCCAAGUGGCCAUCACCUUUCGGCUAAUAAACAAACAAAGAAAAGAAAAAGAAAGACAAAAUGAUGAGGAAACAUCAUGAUGAGGAGGCAUCAUGAUUAUGCUUUCUUGUAGUUUUUUAAUAACCAUAAUUAUUGUUUUUGUUUCGGGUAGAAGAGAAGAAAGGGAGAGCUCAUUUUUUAGAAGAAAGCAUAUUAAAGAGAGAAGAGGAGAGAGAGAAGGUAGAGCCUUUUGGUUAUAAAAGGCAUUCGAUUAUGCCUUUGGAUGUGGGAGGGGGGGGAGCGGCAGAUGAGAGAGCACAGGGAGAGCAUUCGGCUCUCCCAUUUGAAUAUGAGCUGCUCCUUCCCACCAUUUGUAAUAAUCCCAUUUUGUUAGUAAUCACUCAAUCAAAGAUGUUGGUGCUACUUGUGUAGCUUUUGGGAGAGAAGGAUUUUGAUAUGUGUUUCUUCUUCUCCAUUUGUUUCUUAGUUUGAGUGAGAGCUAUUGGGUGUAUGUGGGAUUUGGGUUUGAGUGUUGAACUCUAUUUGUAAUCUCCUUUUGAUAUUAAUGGAAUUUCCUCGCCGUCUCGGAACUGGAUGUAGGCUUACGCCAAACCAGUAUAAAAAUCCUUGUGUCUUUUGGAUUAUUUGUCUUGUCAUAUUUUGCCGUUAUUAGCUUUGAUUUCAUAUUUGAAGCUUCCGCACAACAAGUGGUAUCAAAGCUCCGGGUUUCGACUUGGAGGCUUUGUACUAGUAUGUCUAUGAAAUCUUCAAAUGACGGUGAAAUAUGUUUUUUGGAAAAAUUCGACUGGAGGAAUGACUUUGGCAUUUGGUCAAUUGGAGAUGCAGAGUUUGGCUGCAAAAUGCGUGGCGUUGAAGAAGGAUAGUAAGGGACUAUGCUGCAGUCAUUGAGCUUGCAGAUUGGAGAAUGGUUUCGGAAACAGCGUGUCUGCUGCAAUGUUGCCGUCGAUGUUGUUGAAGUGUUGGUGUUCGACAGCUGCAGAUGUAGUGUACUGCUUUUGGUGGGUUCUCUGUUGGUCAUCGCUGCACCGGAGGUGUUUGUGGGCUGUUGUCGACGAGUUGAGUGGGAAGGAGAAAAGGUAGAAGCAGUUGAAAAUUGAAAAGAAAAUGUUGGUUCUUUUUCUUUCGGCAUUUGUUUUGGCAGAAGGACAUCAUGAUGACAAAUGAUGUUGUUGGCUGGAAGAAAAGGGAAAAAGGCUAAGGCUAAGUUUUCUUUUCUUUGGCAUUUUUUCAACGGCAGAAAAUUUUUGGUUCUUUUUUCACUCCCAUUAGUUGCCUUUGGAGCAAGUUGAUGGAAACAUUGGAGGAGUUUGUGAGGGCCAAUUUGUUGAGUUCUGCAAGUUUGGAUAGUGAGGCACCACACUAUUUUGGAUACACCACAUGCACUGCAGAACAUUUGUGUGGAACCCUCUUGUAGAAGGCAAGUUAUAUGCUUUCUAACUUUGUUUGGUCUAUGGACAUUUAGUUGGAUUUGUUUGCCACUGCUAUUUGGUUUGUUGGUCUCCAUCAUCUGCAAUUAGUUUUCUUGAAGACUCCAGUUGAGGUAUGGUUUUGGAUCUCCUGCUGAUUAUUUGAAUUUGAAAUUUUUGGUUGUCCUGUUGGUGCUCAUGUGAUGAUGGUAAACUUGAGUGGAGGGCAUAGUUUUUUUGUAUGUGGUAUGUUAGACCUUGUUGCCAAAUUUGUAAUCAGUUUUGACUUGGAGAAUAUGCCGUGCUAUUUGAAUGAGUCUAUUGAUGCAGUUUAAGACCAUGGUGUUUGUAAGCAGGUGGAGUUCGUUCUGUGUCCAACUUUGGUAUGGUGUGCUUGAUCUUUUGUUAGUGAUAUUGAAGAAUUUCAGUUCUUCGUUUGAAUCACUUUUGUUUUGAUCAAGGCACUUAUGGUUUGCAAAUUUGGAGAAUACGGUAGAGAAAUGGUCUACUUUUGUUGGCUUUGGUAUAAUUUGAGUCGAGGUGGAGAUCAUUAUGAGUACCGGAAAGUUUGGGGAAUUUGAUUUAGUUCCCGUUGUCUUUAGUUUGUACUUUGGGUGAUUAUGGUGAUUGUUGAUUCGAUUCUCUGUGAUGGUUUCGGAACUUGGCCAAGGUGGAGAUUGUUGAAUUGUGGCCAAGUGGCCAUCAUCGGCUAAUAAACAAACAAAAGAAAAGAAAAAGAAAGACAAAAUGAUGAGGAAACAUCAUGAUGAGGAGGCAUCAUGAUUAUGCUUUCUUCUUUUGUGGUUUUUUAAUAACCAUAAUUAUUGUUUGUUUAUUAGCCGAAAGGUGAUGGCCACUUGGCCACAAUUCAACAAUCUCCACCUUGGCCAAGUUCCGAAACCAUCACAGAGAAUCGAAUCAACAAUCACCAUAAUCACCCAAAGUACAAACUAAAGACAACGGGAACUAAAUCAAAUUCCCCAAACUUUCCGAUACUCAUAAUGAUCUCCACCUUGACUCAAAUUGUACCAAAGCCAACAAAAGUAGACCACUUCUCUACCGUCUUCUCCAAAUUUAAAUCCUAUGAAGAAAGGGAGAGCUCAUUUUUUAGAAGAAAGCAGAUUGAAGAGAGAAGAGGAGAGAGAAGGUAGAACCUUUUGGUUAUAAAAGGCAUUCGAUUAUGCCUUUGGAUGUGGGGAGAGCGGCAGAUGAGAGAGCACAGGGAGAGCAUUCGGCUCUCCCAUUUGAAUAUGAGUUGCUCCUUCCCACCAUUUGUAAUAAUCCAAUUUUGUUAGUAAUCACUCAAUCAAAGAUGUUGGUGCUACUUGUGUAGCUUUUGGGAGAGAAGGAUUUUGAUAUGUGUUUCUUCUUCUCCAUUUGUUUCUUAGUUUGAGUGAGAGCUAUUGGGUGUAUGUGGGAUUUGGGUUUGAGUGUUGAACUCUAUUUGUAAUCUUCUUUUGAUAUUAGUGGAAUUUCCUCGCCGUCUCGGAACUGGAUGUAGGCUUAUGCCGAACCAGUAUAAAAAUCCUUGUGUCUUUUGGAUUAUUUGUCUUGUCAUAUUUUGCCAUUAUUAGCUUUGGUUUCAUAUUUGAAGCUUCAGCAAUACAAACAGUACAAGAUCAAUGAAUUCCUAUGAAUGAAUAAACUAAAGAAAUCGAAGAAAGAGAAUAACGAGAGAGAAAAGCUUUUCAUUUAUAUUGCUCUAACAGAAAAUGAUUACAUGAUAAAAAUCUAAGUCUCCAAAACAAUAAUUAUAUAGAGACUAGAAUGAGCAGAAUCACAAUAUUGCCUUUCUAACUAAUUCUUAUCUUCUAACAACCUCAACACUCACAAGCUUGACACUUGUCAUUUCUUACAACCACUCCUAACAAAUCCUAACUGUUUAUCUGGUUAAUAUAACGGAUGGCCGACGACCGACACCGAGAUUUUCCCAAACCUUGGUCCUUACUCUCGUAUAAAUUCGAAACGAACAGUAAACAAUUUUCUCGCAAUCGGAAGCACGGCAAACAUGGAUCUGAGAGAAAGCAUCAUCAACCAAAACGACGUCGCAAGGAGGCUGACGAAGCAGCUGGUUCAGACCGAAGGCAAGCAGUCGAACCUCGUGUACUCGCCGCUGUCCAUCCACGUGGUGCUGAGCCUGAUCGCAGCCGGGUCAAAGGGUCCCACCCAGGAGCAGCUGCUCUCAUUCCUCAAGUCAGAGUCCACCGACCACCUCAACUCCUUCGCCUCCCAGCUCCUGCCCUUUAUCUUCUCCGAUGGGUCCCCCGUGGGCGGCCCCAAGCUGGCGUUUGCGAAUGGCGUUUGGGUGCAGAAGCCUCUCCCUCUGAAGCCUUCCUUCAAGCAGGUGGUGGAAGCUUCUUACAGGGCCGCUCUCGUCCUAGUUGAUUUUCAGACCAAUGUAAGCUCCCAAACCCUCUGUCAUGUCGUUUCGAUUGUUUUUGUCGAUGCUGCUCAUGAUCAAAGUCUUUGGUUGUAAUUUCAGACCAAUGUUUCAAUGUCGAUGCUGCUGAUGCUCUUUUGUUCGUUACUGUUUUUGGUUGUAAUUGAUCGAGAUAUGCAGGUUGAUAUCAUUGUUUUCUAACUUGUCGUAACUGUUGUUGGUGCUCAAGGCUGCUCAAGUGGAGUCGGAAGUGAAUUCAUGGGCUGAAAAGGAGACGAGCGGCCUUAUCAAGGAUCUACUUCCUCCCGGGUCACUUGACAGCUUCACCAGGCUCAUCUUUACCAAUGCAUUAUACUUCAAGGGAGCUUGGAAUGAGAAAUUUGAUGCAACAGCUACAAAAGAGCAUGACUUCCACCUUCUCGACGGGAGCACAGUUAAGGCGCCCUUCAUGACCAACAAGAACCAGCAGUAUGUAAGUGCCUUUGACGGUUUCUCAGUCUUAGGGCUUCCUUACAAACAAGGUGAAGACAAGCGGCGCUUCUCCAUGCACAUCUUUCUUCCACAGGAGAAAGAUGGGCUGCCAGCUUUGGUUGAGAAACUUGGCUCUGAGUCCGGGUUUUUAGAUCGCUAUCUUCCCAAACAACCAGUUGCAGUGGGCGACUUCAGAAUCCCAAAGUUUAAGAUCUCAUUUGGGUUUGAAGCUUCCAAUGUCCUAAAGAGUCUGGGACUGGUGCUGCCUUUCGUGGGUGGAGGUCUGACAGAGAUGGUGGACUCGCCCGAGGGUAAGAAGCUAUAUGUUUCCAACAUAUUCCACAAGUCGUUCAUCGAAGUGAAUGAAGAAGGCACAGAAGCUGCAGCUGCUUCUGCCGGCGUUAUAAGUGAUAGGAGGAUGCCCAUGACAUUUGUGGCUGAUCGUCCGUUCCUCUUCACGAUCAGGGAAGAAACGACCGGAACAGUUCUGUUCAUCGGUAACCUGCUCAACCCUCUUGCCGGCUGAGUGUUACAAUCCCCUGGGAAAAGGCAUCAUGUGUACGUAGAAUAAUACGAGAGUAUAGUAAAUAAAAUGUAUGAUCCUUGUAUACAUGUGCUAGGUUUGGUUAUUACCUAAUCACCCUGUACUUGCCGCAGUUGGUCUUGUUUCUCCCAUGUGGCGAUUGUUGCUCGUUCUCCCAUGGCGUUUAUCUAUUUGUACAAUCUUGAUUCUGAAUACUUAUUUUAUGUUGUACUCUGUUUGAACAAUUAAAGUUUUAGCCGACUGCAAACGUCGGUUAAGUGUUAAAGUAUUUGGACAGGGAUUGUCUGCUUUUUCAUUUUUCGUGUCCUUCUGUUUUGUGUGUUCACAGUUAAACUACGUCAAUAUUUUAUAUUAUUUUUUUAUAGAAAUAAUAAGAUAAAAAUAAAUAAUAAUAUAAAAUAUUAACGUGACUUAACUGUAACCACACAAACAGGAGGGCACGGAAGACCACCGGAAGUGGAAGAGCGGACAUUCUUGUCCAAAGUAUUUAAUAUAUAGAAUGUACGAGUGCUAGUGCUGUACCAUAUACAUGGUUGGUGAUGAAAAGGAUUAAACUAUGAAUAUUCUAUAAAAUAUUAUUUACCCUAGGACGAGGAUUUUCUUUGGAUCUUCUUUACGAGGAUCUUAGGAAUUAAUUCAUUUUAACGGUUUAUUGUACAUCGUACGGUCAACUUUCGUUAGAUACUUUUUAUGUUUAAUUUUAAAUAAAUUCAAAAUAAUUUUUCACUGCAUGAUGCAUUGAUUCCUAAAGCACUCGCAAAGAGACUCCAGAUGUUUAGUUCUCCAUGACUGGAGAUGGCCUAAGAUGCUAAACACUUAACACUAACCAAUUUUUCCGGUUAGUUAAAUUGUUUAAUAAAUGCUAUCCACACUCUAAAAUAAUUGACCAUAUUUUCUUGACUCUUUUGUUAGAUUGCAUGAAAUAUUGUUCGAGUAAAUAAUCUCUCAAGUAUCACUCAGACUUCAUAAUGAUUUUGAUUUUGAUUACAUAGUAAGCAUGUCAUUAAGGUCAAAUUUUGAACAAACACCCAAUUACAUAGCACGCAUGUUAUUAUGGUGUAUGCUCAUUGUCACUUUCAAAACUUGACACCUGUCUACUAACAUAACCGAUGGCCGACGACCGACACCUUCCCAAACCUUGGUCCUUACCCUCGUAUAAAUUCGAAACGAACAGUAAACAAUUUUCUCGCAAUCGGAAGCACGGCAAACAUGGAUCUGAGAGAAAGCAUCAUCAACCAAAACGACGUCGCAAGGAGGCUGACGAAGCAGCUGGUUCAGACCGAAGGCAAGCAGUUGAACCUCGUGUACUCGCCGCUGUCCAUCCACGUGGUGCUGAGCCUGAUCACAGCCGGGUCAAAGGGUCCCACCCAGGAGCAGCUGCUCUCAUUCCUCAAGUCAAAGUCCACCGAUCACCUCAACUCCUUCGCCUCCCAGCUAGUGUCCGUGAUCUUCUCCGAUGGGUCCCCCGUGGGCGGCCCCAAGCUGGCGUUUGCGAAUGGGCUUUGGGUGCACAAGCCUCUCACGCUGAAGCCUUCCUUCAAGCAGGUGGUGGACGCUUCUUACAAGGCAGCUCUCGCCCUAGUCGAUUUUCAGACUAAUGUAAGCUCCCAAACCCUCUGUCAUGUCGUUUCGAUAGUUUUUUUUUCAAUGCUGCUCAUGAUCAAAGUCCUGAAUUUUUUUUCCCGAUUUGAUUAGAGAUGUAUAAAUAUUUCCUAAAUUGCAGGCCUGCUGAUGCUCUUUUAUUCUUGUAGCAUUUCAACUAAAUAUUUCCUCUCUAAUCAUUACUGUUUGUGCUUGUUCUUGUGCAUAGCCGUUACGAAAUCGUAUCGAAGAUUUUUUUGUUCGUUACUGUUUGUGGUUAUAAUCUAGGUAUUAAAUAUUGAUAAUAUCGGAAAUAUCGGUAGUCCAGAAACACGGAAAUAUUGAUGGAAAUAUCGGGAUAUUAUCGAUAUGUAUAAAAAUAAUAUGGAAACCACGGAAAUUGUAAGAAAAACUUGGAAAUUUUUAUUGAAACUUUGCAGGAUGUUUAUUUAGUCAAUUAUCUAUUAGUUUAUCACAAAAUAUUGGAAGGAAAUGUAUUACAUAAUAGAUUUAACUGAUUUAAGUUGAUUAUAUAGCGAACUAGCGAACUACCAAACAUUAUGAGUUAGAAAAUAUGUAGUAAUUAAUAAAAGAAGUUUAAACACACAGUCACCGACUAUUAAAAAUUGUACAUGUAAAAGCUGUAAAAGUUGAAUUAUUUAGAUGCUUUUUUUUCUUACAUGCCACCCACACACACACACACACAGACUCUCACACGCCAACACACACGCACACACAGAUCACACACACAUCACACACACAGACAGAGACUGAGGUCUCUCUUUCUCGAUCCUUCUCUCUUCUCUCUCGAUCCUUCUCCCUUCUCUUCGACAGAGACUGAGGUCUAUCUCUCUCUCGAUCCUUCUCUCUUCUCUCCCUUCUCCAUUCUCCCACACACACACCCAGAUCUCUCGAUCUCUCUUCUCCCUUCUCCCACACACACGCACAGAGACCUCGCCCCUCCCCCCUCGUCAUCGUCUCCACCGCAAAUCUAGGUCUUUGAACGUAAAUUGCAGGCCUGCUGAUGCUCUUUUAUUCUUGUAGCAUUUCAACUAAAUAUUUCCUCUCUAAUCAUUACUGUUUGUGCUUGUUCUUGUGCAUAGCCGUUACGAAAUCAUAUCGAAGAUUUUUUGUUUGUUACUAUUUGUGGUUAUAAUCUAGGUAUUAAAUAUUGGUAAUAUCGGUAGUCCAGAAACACGGAAAUAUUGAUGGAAAUAUCGGGAUAUUAUCGAUAUGUAUAAAAAUAAUAUGGAAACCACGGAAAUUGUAAGAAAAACUUGAAAAUUUUUAUUGAAACUUUGCAGGAUGUUUAUUUAGUCAAUUAUCUAUUAGUUUAUCACAAAAAAAUUGGAAGGAAAUGCAUUGCAUGAUAGAUUUAACUGAUUUAAGUUGAUUAUAUAGCGAACUAGCGAACUAGCAAACAUUAUGAGUGUAGAAAAUAUGUAGUAAUUAAUGAAAGAAGUUUAAACACACAGUCACCGACUAUUAAAAAUUGUACAUGUAAAAGCUGUAAAAGUUGAAUUAUUUAGAUGUUUUUUUUUCUUACAUGCCAUCCACACACACACACACACACAGACUCUCACACGCCAACACACACCACGCAUACACAGAUCACACACACAGACAGAGACUGAGGUCUCUCUCUCUCGAU